rnacentral:lncRNA from 1 species
GUAAAUGAAUAAUUUCAAUACGAUUUGCUCCCCAAAGAUUCAUCUAGAUUAAAUUAAAUUACAAACAAAUAUUUAAAUUAACUAAAAGCAAAUAAAGGAAGAAAAGUGUAGAAAUUUGGGGCCCUUUCUAGCCCACUUUCAAAUCUAGACAGCUCUUUGGGCCUACUUUUAGGCCUUUUCAGCUCUCUUUCAGCUGUGUAUAUCAGUAGUAUAUCAGCUAUAUACUUCACGUAUACCAGUCUUCAUCUGCAACCUUUUUCUGUAUACAAACUGUAUAUAAGUAUAUAAAACUGGUAUCUGCACAUUCUUGCUUACAUUUUCUGUUGUAUACUGCCGUAUAUCAGCUGCUUCUGCCUUGUGAAGUAUAUAUAUUCGAUGUACAUCUUUGUAUACAGCCUUGUUUCUUCAUGAGUUUAGUCCCUUUCGGACUUGUAGAAUGCUUGGACUCGAUAAUGCUUGAAUGCAAAGGUAACGGGAGUCCAGGUGGACUCAUUUGAGACAGUUCAUGCAUGCAAAAAAUGAUAAAGAUCAGAUGAAACGUAAAUAGAGAUUAAUAUCAAACAAUAAUAAUAACAUGACAACAAUAACACACAAAGGCAAAGUCUAAAUUUAUAUUGGAAAGGUAUCAUACCUGAAAUUAUCAUCAGAUGUCAAAAAUCAUUUUUUUUUUCAAAGUAAACCCCAAAACACAUAGUUAAAUAUUCGAACCAAAUUUUUA